rnacentral:rRNA from 1 species
UACGGAGGGUGCGAGCGUUGUUCGGAAUCACUGGGCGUAAAGCGCGUGUAGGCGGCCAGGUAGGUCUGCUGUGAAAACUCGAGGCUAACCUCGAGCUGUCGGCGGAAACCAUCUGGCUAGAGUCCGGAAGAGGAGAAUGGAAUUCCCGGUGUAGCGGUGAAAUGCGCAGAUAUCGGGAAAACACCCGUGGCGAAAGGCGGUCUCUGGGACGGUACUGACGCCUGAGACGCGAAAGCGUGGGGAGCGAACAGG